AUUGUGAUGAGGACAGUCUCUUAGUAGCCCCAUGAACCUUUCCCAAGCUGAGUUUAAAGAUUCACCUGCUUUCUGUUUGAAGGCUACUAUUUCACUUCUGAUCUU
rfam:Nicotiana attenuata strain TT chromosome 9, whole genome shotgun sequence.